AGAAUCAACGCUGGCGGCGUGCCUAACACAUGCAAGUCGAACGAGAAAGUGGAGCAAUCCAUGAGUACAGUGGCGUACGGGUGAGUAACACGUGACUAACCUACCCUCGAGUGGGGAAUAACCUCGGGAAACCGGGCUAACACCGCAUAACAUCUACGGAUCAAAUGCGUAAGCAGCUUGAGGAGGGGGUCGCGGCUGAUUAGCUAGUUGGCGGGGUAAUGGCCCACCAAGGCAGUGAUCAGUA
rnacentral:rRNA from 1 species